rnacentral:rRNA from 1 species
GACGAACGCUGGCGGCGUGCCUAAUACAUGCAAGUAGAACGCACAGUUUAUACCGUAGCUUGCUACACCAUACACUGUGAGUUGCGAACGGGUGAGUAACGCGUAGGUUACCUGCCUGGUAUCGGUGGAUAACUAUUGGAAACGUUAGCUAUUAUCGCUUAAUAUUCAUUAUUCCAUGAUAAUUGAUUGAAAGAUGCUAUUUCAUCACUACCUGCUGGCCCUGCGUUGUAUUAGCUGGUAGGUGAGGUAACGGCUCACCUAAGCGACGAUACAAAUCCGAACUUAGGAGGGGAACGGCCACACUGGGAAUGGGACACGGCCCAAACUCCUACGGGAGGCAGCAAUAAGGAAUCUUCGGGAAUGGACGAAAGUCCGACCGGGCAACGCCGCGGGAGUGAAGAAAGUUUUCGGGUCGUAAAGCUCUGUUGUAAGAGAAGAAAGAGAGUGAGAGUGGAAAGUGCACAAUGUGACGGUAUCUUACCAGAAAGGGACGGCUAACUACGUG